rnacentral:rRNA from 1 species
UACGUAGGGUGCGAGCGUUUGUCCGGAAUUAUUGGGCGUAAAGGGCUCGUAGGCGGUCUGUCGCGUCGGUAGUGAAAACUCAGGGCUUAACCCUGAGCCUGCUUCCGAUACGGGCAGACUAGAGGUAUGCAGGGGAGAAUGGAAUUCCUGGUGUAGCGGUGAAAUGCGCAGAUAUCAGGAGGAACACCCGUGGCGAAAGCGGCUCUCUGGAACGGUACUGACGCUGAGACGCGAAAGCGUGGGGAGCGAACAGG